UGGCGCAGUAGACCAACGAAGAUCUCCCUUGUUGUAUCAAGGUGUCAGAUAUUGUGAGGAACAAAAGGGACGUUAUAAAAGAUCGCCGGAGCUUGGAGGCAUUGCAGCAACGAUGCCAAGGGACCUGAGUGAAAGCACCGAAACGUCUCGGGCAAGCAAACGCAGUACAACAGAGGAGAAGUUCAUGGCAGACGGCAACCCCAGUG